rnacentral:misc_RNA from 1 species
AUGAAGAACGUAGCGAAAUGCGAUAAGUAAUGUGAAUUGCAGAAUUCAGUGAAUCAUCGAAUCUUUGAACGCACAUUGCGCCCCUUGGUAUUCCGGGGGGCAUGCCUGUUCGAGCGUCAUUUCAACCCUCAAGCUCUGCUUGGUAUUGGGCUCCGUCCUCAGGGACGCGCCUCAAAGACCUCGGCGGUGGCGUCUUGCCUCAAGCGUAGUAGAAAACACCUCGCUUUGGAGUGCUGGGCGUCGCCCGCCGGACGAACCUUUGAAUUUUUCUCAAGGUUGACCUCGGAUCAGGUAGGGAUACCCGCUGAACUUAAGCAUAUCAAUAAGCGGAGGA